CACAGAUCGGCAAAACCUAUGCAGAGGCUAUUAAUAUCGGGAUAUUAAACUCGGGAGAACGAGAAUAAAGUCCUCCCACCUUUAGGCGGCAAUAUUUCAUUCGAGUGUUUUUUUUUUUGUUCGUUGCUCUUAACUGUUCGGCAGUUGGGGGUGGGUGGCGCGGCAAGACCACCGUUUCUGUUCUCAUUUUUGAUCCUGUAUUUCAUAAAUUUUCAGAGGCUUGAUGGAACUUUUCGUCUGACGCGCUCUUUCUUUCUCUAUGUCUCUCUCUCUCUCUCUCUCUCUCUCUAGCUUCCUGGUAAACAAAGCGCGGACGCUCCACCAACACACGGUCUGAGUCGACCUGCUUCAGCGACCGUCUUCAGACAUGCUCUCAGCGAGGAGACCCUUCACAGCAGACCACCUAAUAAAGCUACACGCGGCGCUCUGGGUCGUCCCGCUCGCCGCAGUGCUGUCUCAGAAGGCGGGCGUUUGCCGGGGCUGCUCCAGCUCGGAGGGUCUGCUCCUGUGCAGGUCCUGCGGUCAUGAGGUGGCUCUGGAGAAAGAUCUGAGUUUCGUCCCGAGUCGCCUGGCCCUCUCUCACCGGAACGACACCGUGAUCGGAGAGCGAAGGACCACCGUGCAGCUCUUCGAAAACCCUCAAGGCUUCCAGUUCGAGCUCAUCACGUUUAGAAAGGCAGACGUGUUGAAGCACUGGCCGGCGGACAAACACUUCACCUGGUUUCCAGGGUUUUCCUGGACGGUAGCCACCUGUCCGCGAUGCAAAACACACCUAGGCUGGGCCUUUCAGCCGAGCGACUGGCCUCGGACAGUGACAAGACAAGACUUCGAGAACUCGGACCAGACUUUCGUAGCCCUUAUUGUUCAGAGAUUACUGCAGGAGCAGUUUGCAUCCAGCCUCCUGAUGACACCAAACUCUUUCAGAAGCUGACCAAUCAAGCUUUCAUCCAUCUCAAACAGUGGUACUGUUCUUAACCAAAGGGCUUAAUGAAAAUAGAAGUGCUCAAGAAGUCAAAUUUGGCAGCAGGACAGAAAAGGAGCAGGUUAUAGGUCUGGACAACCCCACCCAAAACAGAAGUCCCCCCGCCCCUAACCACCACACGCUGCUUUUUCUCCCACCUUA
ensembl:lncRNA